GACGAACGCUGGCGGCGUGCUUAACACAUGCAAGUCGAACGGAAAGGCCCCUUUGGGGGUACUCGAGUGGCGAACGGGUGAGUAACCUGCCCUUGACUUCGGGAUAACUUCAGGAAACUGGGGCUAAUACCGGAUAGGAAUCCUUGCUGCAUGGUGGGGGUUGGAAAGCUUCGGCGGUUUUGGAUGGACUCGCGGCUUAUCAGCUUGUUGGUGGGGUAGUGGCUUACCAAGGCUUUGACGGGUAGCCGGCCUGAGAGGGCGACCGGCCACAUUGGGACUGAGAUACGGCCCAGACUCCUACGGGAGGCAGCAGUGGGGAAUAUUGCACAAUGGGCGGAAGCCUGAUGCAGCAACGCCGCGUGCGGGAUGACGGCCUUCGGGUUGUAAACCGCUUUCAGCAGGGGCGAAGCUUGUGGUGACGGUACCUGCAGAAGAAGCACCGGCUAACUACGUG
rnacentral:rRNA from 1 species